UACAGAGGUCUCAAGCGUUGUUCGGAUUCAUUGGGCGUAAAGGGUGCGUAGGUGGCAUGGUAAGUUGAAGGUGAAAUCUCGGAGCUCAACUCCGAAACUGCCUUCAAUACUGCUGUGCUCGAGGACUGUAGAGGAGAAUGGAAUUCACGGUGUAGCAGUGAAAUGCGUAGAUAUCGUGAGGAAGACCAGUGGCGAAGGCGAUUCUCUGGGCAGUUCCUGACACUGAGGCACGAAGGCUAGGGGAGCAAACGGG
rnacentral:rRNA from 1 species